rnacentral:tRNA from 1 species
AGAAAUUUAGGUUAAACACUAAACCAGAACCUUCAAAGUUCUAAAUAUGAGACAACCUCAUAAUUCCUG